AUGGAGUUUGCACUUGGCUGGGUUUUCCUUGUUGCUCUUUUAAAAGGUGUCCAGUGUGAGGUGCAGCUGGUGGAGUCUGGGGGAGACCUGGUGAAGCCUGGAGGGUCCCUGAGACUUUCCUGUGCAGCCUCUGGAUUCACCUUCAGCUGCACCUACAUGAGCUGGGUCCGCCAGGCUCCAGGGAAGGGGCUGCAGUGGGUCGCAGGUAUUAGCAGUGAUGGAAGUAGCACAAAGUAUGCAGACCCUGUGAAGGGCCGAAUCACCAUCUCCAGAGACAACGGCAAAAACACACUUUAUCUGCAGAUGAACAGCCUGAGAGCCGAGGACACGGCUGUGUAUUACUGUGCCCAGGAGCAGAUGCAGCUGGAGGAUAAGGCAGAUCCUCCUCUGGCUGGUGCUUCCAAGCCUGUGCCUUCAGAGCUGCGGGUCAUUAAACCAAUGAUGCCUGAUACACACAGCAGCAUGGCUGUACCCACAAGGAUUCAUGCUGAGCCAAGGAAGCCCUACUGA